rnacentral:rRNA from 1 species
UGCAAUGAGAGUUGUGCUAAGGUAGCGUGAUAAGUUGUCUUUUAAUUGGAGAAUGGAAUGAAGGGUUUGACGUGAAAUUUCUUUUUUUAUAAAAGGUACUAAAGUUUCCUUCUAAGUGAAAAGGCUUAGGUUUUUGAAAAAGACGAGAAGACCCUGUCGAACUUGAUUAAGAAUUGCUGGUUAUAGAUAUUUGAAAGUUUUAUUGGGGCAAUAUUAACUUAAAAAACAGUUAAUUUAUUCAUAGAUCCUUUUUGAAAGAAAGAGGAAAAAGUUACCGCAGGGAUAACAGCGUUAUUUCUUCUAAGAGAUCUUAUUGAGGAAGAAGUUUGCGACCUCGAUGUUGGAUUAUA